rnacentral:rRNA from 1 species
GUACUCGCGAACNCAUCUUUAUUAGAGUUUGAUCAUGGCUCAGAGUGAUAUCGCUGGCGGUAGGCCUAACACAUGCAAGUCGAACGGCAGCACAGGAGAGCUUGCUCUCUGGGUGGCGAGUGGCGGACGGGUGAGGAAUACAUCGGAAUCUACUCUGUCGUGGGGGAUAACGUAGGGAAACUUACGCUAAUACCGCAUACGACCUACGGGUGAAAGCAGGGGAUCUUCGGACCUUGCGCGAUUGAAUGAGCCGAUGUCGGAUUAGCUAGUUGGCGGGGUAAAGGCCCACCAAGGCGACGAUCCGUAGCUGGUCUGAGAGGAUGAUCAGCCACACUGGAACUGAGACACGGUCCAGACUCCUACGGGUGGCAGCAGUGGGGAAUAUUGGACAAUGGGCGCAAGCCUGAUCCAGCCAUACCGCGUGGGUGAAGAAGGCCUUCGGGUUGUAAAGCCCUUUUGUAUGGGAAAGAAAUCCAGCUGGCUAAU